UUAGUCUCCUGGACCUGCUGUUUU
rnacentral:piRNA from 1 species